rnacentral:rRNA from 1 species
UACGGAGGAUCCAAGCGUUAUCCGGAUUUAUUGGGUUUAAAGGGUGCGUAGGUGGCCUGUUAAGUCAGGGGUGAAAGACGGUAGCUUAACUAUCGCAGUGCCCUUGAUACUGAUGGGCUUGAAUGAACUAGAGGUAGGCGGAAUGUGACAAGUAGCGGUGAAAAUGCAUAGAUAUGUCACAGAAACACCAAUUGCGAAGGCAGCUUACUAUGGUUUUAUUGACACUGAGGCACGAAAGCGUGGGGAUCAAACAGG